rnacentral:lncRNA from 1 species
AUGACCCCCUCUAACAUGGGGGUGAUCUUUGGGCCCACUCUCAUGAGAGCUCAGGAGGACACUGUGGCUGCCAUGAUGAACAUCAAAUUCCAGAAUAUUGUGGUGGAAAUCCUAAUUGAGCACUUUGUCAAGAUCUAUUCAGGUCCACCUGAGGAAAGUACUGCACCCCCAGUGCCUCCACCUCGAGUAACAGCAAGAAGACACAAACCAAUUACAAUUUCAAAGCGCUUGCUACGGGAAAGGACAGUUUUCUAUACUUCUUCCCUGGAUGAAAGUGAAGAUGAAAUUCAACAUAGAACACCCAAUGGUACUAUCAUCAGCAGCAUAGAACCCCCCAAGCCACCACAAUACCCCAAAAUGCCUAUGCAAAAAAGUGUGGAAGCAGAUCCUGGGAGGAAGUCCCCAAGCAGGCUUGUUUCAGAUGUCAAGUUGGAGACCUGCCUCGAGGUGGACGUGGGGAAAUUGGUGUCUAGGCUGCAGGAUGGAGGGACCAAGGCCAUACCAAAGGCCAGCAAUGGACCUAUGCCAGGCCCUGGGACCACUAAGGCCCCCUCUUUCCACAUAAAGAGAUCAGCACCUCGGCCCCUGGCUCACCACAAGGAGGGAGACUCUGACAGUUUCAGCAAAGUGCGGCCUCCGGGAGAAAAGCCAACCAUCAUCAGACCCCCAGUGAGGCCUCCAGACCCUCCCUGCCGGGCAACUACUUCCCAGAAACCAGAACCAAAGCCAGAUGUUAUGGCUGGCAAUGCAGGGGAAAUCCCAUCAUCUGUAGUGGCUUCCAGGACCAGAUUCUUUGAAACAGCUUCCCGGAAAACAGGAAGUUCUCAAGGCAGACUUCCUGGAGAUGAGAGUUGAGGCCUCAGGUUGUAAAAUCCUUGGCCUCAGGGGACCCUUUCCAGGUUCUAGAAGGGUCUUCUUCAAAUCCUUGUGUGCUGAAGAGCAGAUUCUUCCUGUCCCUGCACCUUCAGGCUCUGGGAGGCUAUAAAAUAAGGGGCACAUGUCCUAUACACAUUUAUUUCUCCUUUGUAUUCUCUCUUCAUUCCCCUAGAAGGUCUAUCUUGAGCUCCUAUAAGACUGUGAAUGGCUGAACUUCCUCAAGCCAGACUGCAGAAACCAAGCUGUCCACUGACCUGAGUCGAAGAGAGGAGCUCAGUUUUCAACUGUUUUCUGAACUUCCUGCCUCCUCAAAAGGCCAUCUAUCUCUGAAAGAUUUGGGGCUAAAGAUUGAUCUUAGAAGUCUUACCCUGAACUAAAAAUUACUUGAGUUGGGGCCAUUGCUUACCUUGGAAGUAAGGGAGUAGGAAUGUUUGCUGAACUUCGGAGGCUCUUACCAUGUCUCUCUUACUGAAGAUAUGGACUUUAGUGCCAGUUUGGAGCUCUGGCAUAGUACUACAUUGCCAAGAAUGCAUCUGCUGCUAUGGCCCAGACAGAAAGAGUGAUGCCUCUAUAAUCCCUCCAAUGUGGACUCAGGAAGGUGCCCUUCCUGCUUUUAUAUACUUAGGACAAAUCUGCAAAGCAUGUUUUGCAUGUCAAAGCCUAUGUCUGUUUGAAUUAUUCUUCUUCCUGCUUUGUCCUAACAGCUUCCUUUCCAAGCAAUCAGAAAGAAACAAAUGUUUAAAACAGUUCUUUUUUUUUUUUAAGGCAGACUGUGUUUGUUCUGUAGGAGUUCCAUUUUGGGAUCAAAUGCUGGGGAAAAUUGUUAAGAUGGAUAAAGGCCAGGUAGUUGUCAUUGUUGUUUCAUGUUUGCUUUUUGAAGAUAAGCUCUUUUAUCGCCUGAAAGAAACAGUUCUUAACCCAUUAUCUAUGGACUCAGGAACUUCAUAAAGCCUCUGAAAUG